UGAACCGGUUCAAAAAGAAAAAAAUACAAAGGAAACAUAUAGCAGUAGGGUUUCCUAAAUGAGUGAACUUCAGCUCCUUUCCUUUGUUGCUCCACCUCCUUCUCAAUGGCUACCCUUGCAAUUCCUUAAUUCGUGUUUCUCUUGCUAUUGGUGAUAAACACCUUGUCUUGAUUGGAUAUAGCAUCUUGUCUUCCAGCUUGCAAGACUGCGUUCGCCAGAGCGAGGGUACCCUGUUUGAUUUUUGGUGCUAACACUUGUGGUCUGAUCAGCUGAACUUUGGUAUUUAAUCCAAUUAUGAAAGAGAGAGAGAUCGUAUGGUGCUAGGACCUACGUGUAGUUGAAGAAAAUAAAAAAACUCAACCGCUUGUAUUGAAAAUCUGCCAUGAAGACCACCUCAUCUACUGAGAGUCCUUUUUGUUUGGCUGGUGUAUCUAGGCUAAGUAGUAUUUUUAACUUUUUGUAUAGUUGAAUAGGUUGUAAAUAAGCUUCCCCUUGCUUUAACCUUCCCAGUCUAUCUAGCAUGUUGAUACUGCUAAUCUCAGAUAACAUCUUUGUUGUUUAUCACUAUUUAAAAUCUUUCUUCCUGAACUUGGUAAUUGAAUGAAGGAUGUAUAUAUGAAUUGCUCAUGCUCCAAUGCUGUGUUAGCUAGAUAAUCUGCUAACUGAUUUUCCUCCC